UUUUUUUUUUUUUUUUUUUUUUUUUCCCCUCCCUCCAGGGUUUUCUCUGGGAAAAGUUUUCUGGGCUUCAGUCCAGGCAGUGUCACAACUCACAGCUGUACUGUUUGAUCCAAGUACUUCAAGCUGCCACUGAGCUUCCCUGGGACAGUAAUGGGUAGACUGCUCUGCUGCCUGUCACGGAACUUAGUCCAUGAAAGUUCUGUCUUUGAAAAGCUACAUAAGAUACCUGCAGGUUGUUCCACAGGAGGGUUGUACUGCUCCAAAGUGAUCCUGUGGAGCUGUGGAGGAUUUUACCUCAGAUGCCUCUGCUUCAGUUUCCCGAUCUGUGAAAUGAGGAUAGGAAUACUGACCUACCUGACAAGGUAAAAUAAUAAAUGUUGUUAACUUCUAUUGCGAUCA
rnacentral:lncRNA from 1 species